AUUAAUACUUUUGUUGUGUGUUAACCUUCUCAAAGCAAUUGUAUGGAGGCAUAAAAGGAGAGGAGCCUUCCCUAGUUUUAGCUGAAUUUCCAAUUUGAAUGUCAGGCCAGGUUCACAAAAAUUUCCAAAAUAGGUGAGAGUUAUAAAUAAAACUGAAUGUGUUACUGUUUGGGGGGAAAGCUGUGGAACUCAGUUUUUUCUUCCAGCUCAGCCCCAGAAUAGACACAGACUGUUUUUCACUUUGAGCUUUUAGAUUCCAGCAGACCUCAAACUUAACAAAAAGAUCAGAAGAAUUUUAUGAACUGAAGAGUGAGUUUCAUGCAGAUAUGAAUCAGCACUGAUAUCUUGGCUGCUGUCAUCAUGGAUGUGGGAGUAUCGGCACCUCCUACGUAACGCUCAUCAGCGUGCAGAAGUAAACUAGUCUGGUCACUUAUGGAGGCCCACUUAAAACCAGGAGGAUUACUCAGCCUUCCUCUUGCUGAUGACCGGGUUCCUGUUUGAUCCUGUUUACAAGCUUCCCAAGACUGAAAAUAACCCCAGCUCCUCUGCACUGGCGCUUGGAAGCAGAAGGAAGCAAAGAGGAGUUGAGAACUGAAGCUGGGAGACUUGGCAGCUAAUUCAGAGGCACAAUUGUGUGAGCAGCCCCUUGGCAAGAGGACCCAGUGCAGCCUGUGACAGAACUGAGUGGAGAUGAUCCCAAGCUGAGAGUCACAACAGGAUCUGCUUUGAGUUCACCCAGCGACCUGCAGGCUCAUCCAGCACCCAGCACAGGUAAGAGAUCUCCACAGAACCUGCAUUCCCCAGGUGUUGUAGCAUCCCAGCCAUAACCCCUGCUCUGCAGUGC
rnacentral:lncRNA from 1 species